AAGGAGCAUUCAACUGGCCAGGCUGUGCCUCUGUUGUGGGGGUGUGGUCUGGUCGGUGGUCAUCUUCGGCAGCGUGUGUCUGUCGGGUGGCUGCUCAUAGAUGUGGAGCACUGGUUAGUCAGGCUGUUGGUCAUGCGGCUCUGCUAGUACCGCCUGCCGGUUCGGUGGGAGUGGGAACGGGGAGUUCGGGUGGCUGGUGGUUUGGGCACGCUGUUGGGUCCUGAGGGAACGGGCCGUUGUGGUCCGGGGCCUCUGGACUGCGGGGUCAGGUGGCCCGGCCUGGUGUUGGGUUGGGUGUCUGGUUGUCCCGGUUGUUUCUUGAGAACUGCACAGUGGACGCGAGCAUCUCUGAUGGACGACCUUUUGUGGGUUGUCUGUCUGCGAUUUGCAGCAGAUCGUUUUGU
rnacentral:misc_RNA from 1 species